rnacentral:rRNA from 1 species
UACGGGGGGAGCAAGCGUUGUUCGGAUUUACUGGGCGUAAAGGGCGCGUAGGCGGCCAGUGCAAGUCAGUUGUGAAAUCUCCGAGCUUAACUCGGAAAGGUCAACUGAUACUGCUCGGCUAGAGUGCGGAAGGGGCAACUGGAAUUCUCGGUGUAGCGGUGAAAUGCGUAGAUAUCGAGAGGAACACCUGCGGCGAAGGCGGGUUGCUGGGCCGACACUGACGCUGAUGCGCGAAAGCCAGGGGAGCAAACGGG